rnacentral:tRNA from 1 species
GAGACUUUAGUAUAUGAUGAUAGUAUAAUUUAUUUUCAAUAAAUUGGAUUUAAGUCUUG